rnacentral:rRNA from 1 species
GAUGAACGCUGGCGGCGUGCCUAAUACAUGCAAGUCGAGCGAACAGAUGAGGAGCUUGCUCCUCUGACGUUAGCGGCGGACGGGUGAGUAACACGUGGAUAACCUACCUAUAAGACUGGGAUAACUUCGGGAAACCGGAGCUAAUACCGGAUAAUAUAUUGAACCGCAUGGUUCAAUAGUGAAAGACGGUUUUGCUGUCACUUAUAGAUGGAUCCGCGCCGCAUUAGCUAGUUGGUAAGGUAACGGCUUACCAAGGCAACGAUGCGUAGCCGACCUGAGAGGGUGAUCGGCCACACUGGAACUGAGACACGGUCCAGACUCCUACGGGAGGCAGCAGUAGGGAAUCUUCCGCAAUGGGCGAAAGCCUGACGGGGCAACGCCGCGUGAGUGAUGAAGGUCUUCGGAUCGUAAAACUCUGUUAUUAGGGAAGAACAAAUGUGUAAGUAACUAUGCACGUCUUGACGGUACCUAAUCAGAAAGCCACGGCUAACUACGUG